rnacentral:lncRNA from 1 species
UUAGCCCCUUUGGGACCCAAUUUAAACAAGUUGUUCUACACACUUCUAAACACUCUUCAUGCAUCUCUAGCACUUGUAAUCAAUCAAAUUUAUUGUAUUCUAACAUAUUCUAACCCCAAAUAACACUAGAUAAGUCAUUUAGUUUUUCAACGCAAUGUUUCCGAGUUCUUAGCCCAUUUGGGACCCAAUUUCAACAAGUCUUUC